GACGAACGCUGGCGGCGUGCCUAAUACAUGCAAGUAGAACGCACAGUUUAUACCGUAGCUUGCUACACCAUAGACUGUGAGUUGCGAACGGGUGAGUAACGCGUAGGUAACCUGCCUGGUAGCGGGGGAUAACUAUUGGUAACGAUAGCUAAUACCGCAUAAUAUUUAUUAUUGCAUGAUAAUUAAUUGAAAGGUGCAAUUGCACCACUACCAGAUGGACCUGCGUUGUAUUAGCUAGUAGGUGAGGUAACGGCUCACCUAGGCGACGAUACAUAGCCGACCGGAUAGGGUGGUCGGCCACACUGGGACGGAGACACGGCACAGACUCCUAGGGGAGGGAGCCGGAGGGCAUCUUCGGCAAUGGACGAAAGUCUGACCGAGCAACGCCGCGUGAGUGAAGAAGGUUUUCGGGUCGUAAAGCUCUGUUGUAAGAGAAGAACGGGUGUGAGAGUGGAAAGUUCACACUGUGACGGUAUCUGACCAGAAAGCGACGGCUAACUACGUG
rnacentral:rRNA from 1 species